AGAGAUGUGGUGGGAAAUUUUUAAAUUUUCUGACUUAUUAUGGCUUGCAUAUUUCCACGCCAUGAAUACCUUCUUUUUUAAGGCGUGCGGUAAAAGCACGCCAUGACUACCUUUUUUUUUAAAGGCGUGUAGAAAGAGCACACCGUAAAUAUCGUUCAUUUAAGGUGUGCAUUCUAUGCACGCCAUAAAAUCUUAUCUAUAUUAUUCAUUUACGACACGUUCUUAAUGCAUGCCGUAAAAUCUUAUCAAUAAGACUUAUUUACGGCACGCAUUUAAUGCAUGCCAUAAAACGCGCGCCAUAAAAGAUGACUUUUCUUGUAGUGAGAGACUCUGCUCAAGCUCUUGCCUCCCUGCUUUUGCAUUCUUUAAAAAUGAUUGAAAGUUAGUAUGAAUCCUCUUCACUAAUAUACCACUUUUGUAAAUUAGGUCAUUAUUCAUUUGGAAUGAACUCACUUUAAAUGUGAGACAGAGUAAAGUAGUACUUGUUAGUGACUUCAUUCCAAAUGAACAGUGACCUAAUUUACAAAAGUGGUAUAUUAGUAAAGAUGAUUCAUACUAACUUUUAAUCAUUUUUAAAGAAUGCAAAAGCAGGAAGGCAAGAGCUUCAGCAGAGUCUCUCCAGAAGAAGGUCAAACCAAUGAAACGCGGAGUUUCACUUAUUCACUAUGUCAAAGAGGUGCCACGACGUCGUUUGGCAAGGCUGGCCAGGUGCCACAACAUGUAAUUGCCGAAAAAAGCAAAAAUUGCAGAUUGAGAAGAGAGGGGGAGAUGGGGCUACGAUAGAGGCAACAAUCCACAGAGAAAAGAAGAAGAAAGAGUAACCUCUGCCGAAGCUCUUGGCAAAGCUGCCGAAGCCGCCUAGAGAAGGUAUAUAUAGAUUUUCAUUUGCGAAAUUUUUGAUAUCUGAAUUCGUUUGCGCAUCUUGCAACCAUUUAUAAAGAAUGCAAAAGUAGGAAGGUAAGAGCUGAGAGCCAAUCAAUAGGUCCUAUCUUGAAUUCUUGUGCUUGAGAAGGUGCGCAUUGCCAUAUAAGUUUGAGAUUGUUGCUACAUCCCUUCGCUGUCUAGAGGUGACUGAUUGUUUCAACGAAUGGAAUGUUACGAUUUCUGCCCCGAAACUCACUAUUGUUGAACAUCGCGGCCAUCUCAAAUUCAAUGAUGUCUUGCCUCUUAAUGCUCCUCAGUUGACAAAGAUAUUAUUCCCCACAUGGAAAGAGCACAUGAUACCUCCUUCAAUUUCACUCUUAACUGGUUUUGCUCAGCUUGAAAAUCUCACCCUGCACAUGUUUCAUGGACAAAUGACAAGAUUGCGGAAAACAUAGCGCCACUUGGGAAUCUUAUGCGAUUGGAGUUGUGCUUAGAUUACAGGCGAUAAUCUAAACUAAAGGGGAGGCGAAUUUCUCACACACACGUACAACUAUGAUGUUGUGGGAAUUCGAACUUGAGAUCUCUUGUCUGCAAGUCAAGACUCUUUUCUACUGGGCUAGACCCCAUUGGCUCCAUUGCCCAGUCUUUGUAGCCCAAGAAAAUGAAAAUGCCCAAACCAACAUGUCGUUGCGUUUAUAACAGCCUUCAAAGCCAAACCCUAAAAUUUUGCUCAAAAUAACUCAGAAAGUUUUCCCUUUCCUCGCAAAGCAUCGCGUGUUUCGAUCUGGAAUCGGAUCAAUCUCCAACGAUGGCUUGUGUGUCGGCUGUUUCGGGUUUUAGAGAAGAUGGGUCUGAGGAUGAGAGGGAAGUGCUUGAGAUUGAGGUCAAUGAGAAAAGGGAGGAGCGUGGAGAAGGAAGCACUUUGCCACAGGCUGGUGAGAGGAAGAAGGAGGAUGCUCCUGGGAAAACUGGUGAGAGGAGGGAGGAUGCUCUGGUGAAAACUCUCUAUUCAUCACCAGCUUCCCGAUCUACAAUGCGAAGAUAGAUUUCAUUCAGGCAACUGAAGAUGAUCCUGCCUCGUAAGUGUGUUCAACUUCACAGGCUUUGUAUGGCCCCAUUUUUAUGUCCUCAUAACUGAAUUUUUUGUUACUUGGAGUGGUCUUGGGUGUUAGUUUUUUGAGUGCUUGAGUAGUAAGAAAUUUUGCUGUGUUGGUUGCUUUGAUUUGGUUAGCAUAGCGGGUAGAAGAAUCAGAGAUUUGUAAGGCUAGAGGCAAGGAUGAUUUCCAAAUUUCAUUAUUAUGUGCUGUUGAUUAUUCAAAAUGUCAUUGAUGGUGCAAAAAAAAAAAAAAGUAACUUAUAAUU